rnacentral:rRNA from 1 species
CCUACGGGAGGCAGCAGUAGGGAAUCUUCCACAAUGGGCGAAAGCCUGAUGGAGCAACGCCGCGUGGGUGAAGAAGGUCUUCGGAUCGUAAAACCCUGUUGUUAGAGAAGAACGUGCGUGAGAGUAACUGUUCACGUUUCGACGGUAUCUAACCAGAAAGCCGCGGCUAACUACGUUCCCGCAUCCGCGGUAAUACGUAGGUGGCAAGCGUUUUCCGGAUUUUUUGGGCGUAAAGGGAACGCAGGGGGUCUUUUAAGUCUGAUGUGAAAGCAUUCGGCCUAACCGGAGUAGUGCAUUGGAAACGGGGAGACUUGAGUGCAGAAGAGGAGAGUGGAACUCCAUGUGUAGCGGUGAAAUGCGUAGAUAUAUGGAAGAACACCAGUGGCGAAAGCGGCUCUCUGGUCUGUAACUGACGCUGAGGUUCGAAAGCGUGGGUAGCAAACAGGAUUAGAUACCCUUGUAGUC